CCCUUAGACGUUCUGGGCCGCACGCGCGCUACACUGAUGCAUUCAACGAGUCUAAAACCUGCUCUGAUAGGGGUGGGUAAUCUUUUGAAUGUGCAUCGUGAUUGGGAUAGAUGAUUGCAAUUUUUCAUCUUCAACGAGGAAUGCCUAGUAAACGCAAGUCAUCAGCUUGCAUUGAUUACGUCCCUGCCCUUUGUACACACCGCCCGUCGCUCCUACCGAUUGAAUGAUCCGAUGAAUAUCAUGGAUUGAGGAUGCAAGUAGGUUAGCCUAUCUUCAUCUUCGAGAAGUGAAGUAAAUCUUAUCAUUUAGAGGAAGGAGAAGUCGUAACA
rnacentral:rRNA from 1 species